rnacentral:misc_RNA from 1 species
GUAUUAAGUUUUUAAAGGACGGUGAAGUCCGAUAAACAAAGACAUUCUAAACAUACAAGAGAUGAUAUGAAGCAUAGACCUGGAGGAGCAAAGGGAGCGCAAGCAAACCCUUCAAAAUCCACUUUAGAAAAAGUGAGCUUUCCAACCAGAUCUACAAAAGGUGCACAGGUGGACAAAGAAGAGGCGAGCGACUUCAAACGUGCACAUACUCCUCUUAGGAAGGAGCCAGCAACAGAAGUGAAGCCACAAGCGUUCAGAGUUUUCAAUAAUGAUCCUUCCGCAGGUUCACCUACGGAAA